CCUACGGGUGGCAGCAGUGGGGAAUAUUGCACAAUGGGGGAAACCCUGAUGCAGCGACGCCGCGUGAGUGAAGAAGUAAUUCGUUACGUAAAGCUCUAUCAGCAGGGAAGAAAUACUGACCUUACGGUCAGCAGACGGUACCUGAGUAAGAAGCACCGGCUAACUACGUGCCAGCAGCCGCGGUAAUACGUAGGGGGCAAGCGUUAUCCGGAUUUACUGGGUGUAAAGGGAGCGUAGACGGUGCGCCAAGUCUGGAGUGAAAUGCCGCAGCUUAACUGCGGAACUGCUUUGGAAACUGGCGAACUAGAGUGCGGGAGGGGUAAGCGGAAUUCCUAGUGGAGCGGUGAAAUGCGUAGAUAUUAGGAGGAACACCGGUGGCGAAGGCGGCUUACUGGACCGUAACUGACGUUGAGGCUCGAAAGCGUGGGGAGCAAACAGGAUUAGAUACCCGAGUAGUC
rnacentral:rRNA from 1 species